rnacentral:rRNA from 1 species
UACAGAGGUCUCAAGCGUUGUUCGGAAUCACUGGGCGUAAAGCGCACGUAGGCGGCUUGUUAAGUCAGGGGUGAAAUCCUGGAGCUCAACUCCAGAACUGCCUUUGAUACUGGCGAGCUUGAGUUCGGGAGAGGUGAGUGGAACUGCGAGUGUAGAGGUGAAAUUCGUAGAUAUUCGCAAGAACACCAGUGGCGAAGGCGGCUCACUGGCCCGAUACUGACGCUGAGGUGCGAAAGCGUGGGGAGCAAACAGG